rnacentral:rRNA from 1 species
CACGUAGGGGGCAAGCGUUGUCCGGAAUCAUUGGGCGUAAAGAGCUCGUAGGCGGCUCAAUAAGUCGGGUGUGAAACCCCCAGGCUCAACCUGGGGACGCCACCCGAUACUGUUGUGGCUAGAGUCCAGUAGGGGAGUGUGGAAUUCCCGGUGUAGCGGUGAAAUGCGCAGAUAUCGGGAGGAACACCGGUGGCGAAGGCGGCAUCCUGGACCGGUAUUGACGCUGAGGCGCGAAAGCCAGGGGAGCAAACGGG